rnacentral:lncRNA from 1 species
ACUUGUUUAUCAUGUUGCAUAGACUUGAUCAUGGUUCCUUUAGGAACCCAAAUCAAUUUGUUCGGACUAAUUUUCUUGAAUGGACAUUGAUAAAUUAUAUGUCCAUAUUUGCAACAAAAGUUGCAAUUGCUUUGGUGUUGAACAUGUAAGAUAGGACCUUUAAUGAAGGUGGUUGGAUUUUGGUGAGUACUUCUCACAAAUCCGAUUCCACUCCUUUUAGGAACGUGACCCUUAUUUGUAAGGAUCAUGUUUAAGGACUUGCUACCGACCUCGAAUUUCUUCAAGGUGUCCUUAAGUACCAAGUUCUCAUUUUGGAGAGUUUCUAGAUCAUGGCAUUUAGCAC